rnacentral:lncRNA from 1 species
ACCUGUUCACCUACAGUCAGAGAGGGUGAAGUUGGGGACGUCCCAAUGGUCUCUCCUUUCUCCUGAAGAGUGCAACCCCGUUCACUACAGUCAGAGAGGGAGAGAGUUGGGGUACGUCCCAAUGGUCUCUCCUUUCUCCUGAAGGGUGCACGUUCACUACAGUCAGAGAGGGUGAGAGUUGGGGUAGUCCCAAUGGUGCUAUUCUUCUCCUGAAGGGUGCACCCGUUCACUACACGUCAGAGAGGGAGAGGAGUUGGGGUACGUCCCAAUGGUCUCUCCUUAUCCUGAAGGUGCACCCGUUCACUAAAGUCAGAGAGGGAGAGAGUUGGGGUACGUCAAUGUCUCUCCUUUUUCUGAAGGGUGCACCGUUCAUACAGUAGAGGGUGAGGAGUUGGGUACGUCAAUGGUUCUUUUCUCCUGAAGGGUGCACACCGUUCACUACAGUCAGAGGAGGGAGAGUUGGGGUACGUCCCAAUGGCUCUCUUUCUCUGAGGGUGCACCCGUUCACUACAGUCAGAGGGGGAGAGGAGUUCGGGGUACGUCCCAAUGGUUCUCCUUUUCCUGAAGGGUGCACCCGUCAUUGAUUCUGACGCAUUGGAUUGGUGGAGGGCUGAGGGAGUUCCCACCACAAUCUGACAGCAUUGGCUUGGUGGAGGGGCUGGAGGGGAGUUUCCCACCACACAUCUGACAGCAUUGGAUUGGUGGAGGGCUGGAGGGACGUUCCCACCACAAUAUGACAGCAUUGGAUUGGUGGGGGCUGGAGGGAGUUCCCACACACACUGACAGCAUUGGAUUGGGGAGGGCUAGAGGGGUUCCCACCAUAUUUCUUUAUACCAGUCAUUUCCUUUCAAAUCAGUGAAGGGAAGUGAACGAGUGCACACUUUGGAGGAAGAAGAGACAAUUGGACGCGGACCCAGAGUGUAGAAGAGGACGAUUGAUUUCACUUUACCACUUGGGCGCUGGCGCUAAUGUAUAUCACACUUACUGUGUGUGUGUGUGUGUUGUGUGCUGUUUGUUUGGUGUUAUGUUGUGUGUGUGUGUGUUAUGUAUGUGUGUGUUGUAAAACAAAAUGACAGUCCAUGUCAUGGGUUGGGUAGGGUAAGUACGAGGGGAACAUAUUCACUGUCACACCAGGUUAGUGCCGAAAUGCGUGCGACACUGAAAUGUUUCCCCCCCGCCUGAAUUGUGCCGUUUGUUCGUUCUCCAUUAGGACAUCACUGCAGGAUGUGUAACUGGUGUUUGUUUGGGGGUACUGUAAAACACACACAGACACACACACCUCCUGUGUCUCCA